GAUAAACGCUGGCGGCGUGCCUAACACAUGCAAGUCGAACGAAGUGGCGAACGGGUGAGUAACCCGUGAGUAACCUGCCUUACACAAGGGGAUAGCCUUUGUAAACGAAGAAUACUACCCUAUAGUGUAAGAUGGACUUGCGUCUGAUUAGCUAGUUGGUGAGAUAAAAGCCCACCAAGGCGACGAUCAGUAGCCGGAGUGGGGGAGGGUACGGGAACCUUAGGACUGGGACACGGCGCGAACUCGCCGGGAGGCAGCAGUGGGGAAUUUGGCACAAUGCGGGAAACCCGGAGGCAGCGACGCCGCGUGAUUUAGAAGGCCUGCGGGUUGUAAAAAUCUUUUUUAUGGGAUGCAGUACCAUAAGAAUAAGGUCCGGCUAAAUACGUGCCAGCAGCCGCGGUAAUAC
rnacentral:rRNA from 1 species